AGCCAGACUCCUACGGGAGGCAGCAGUGGGGAAUAUUGCACAAUGGGGGGAACCCUGAUGCAGCGACGCCGCGUGAGUGAAGAAGUAUUUCGGUAUGUAAAGCUCUAUCAGCAGGGAAGAAAAUGACGGUACCUGACUAAGAAGCCCCGGCUAACUACGUGCCAGCAGCCGCGGUAAUACGUAGGGGGCAAGCGUUAUCCGGAUUUACUGGGUGUAAAGGGAGCGCAGGCGGUAUGGCAAGUCAGAUGUGAAAACCCAGGGCCCAACCCUGGGACUGCAUUUGAAACUGCCAUACUGGAGUGCCGGAGAGGUAAGUGGAAUUCCUAGUGUAGCGGUGAAAUGCGUAGAUAUUAGGAGGAACACCAGUGGCGAAGGCGGCUUACUGGACGGUAACUGACGCUGAGGCUCGAAAGCGUGGGGAGCAAACAGGAUUAGAUACCCCGGUA
rnacentral:rRNA from 1 species